GUGGGGAAUAUUGCACAAUGGGCGCAAGCCUGAUGCAGCAAAGCCGCGUGAGGGACGACGGCCUUCGGGUUGUAAACCUCUUUUAGUAGGGAAGAAGCGAAAGUGACGGUACCUGCAGAAAAAGCACCGGCUAACUACGUGCCAGCAGCCGCGGUAAUACGUAGGGUGCAAGCGUUAUCCGGAAUUAUUGGGCGUAAAGAGCUCGUAGGCGGUCUGUCGCGUCUCCUGUGAAAACUGGAGGCUCAACCUCCAGCCUGCAGUGGGUACGGGCAGACUAGAGUGCGGUAGGGGAGAUUGGAAUUCCUGGUGUAGCGGUGGAAUGCGCAGAUAUCAGGAGGAACACCGAUGGCGAAGGCAGAUCUCUGGGCCGUAACUGACGCUGAGGAGCGAAAGCGUGGGGAGCGAACAGGAUUAGAAACCCCGGUAGUCC
rnacentral:rRNA from 1 species